rnacentral:lncRNA from 1 species
UUUGAAAAUAGUUACUCUACCCUACGUCGAGCAAGAGUUUGCUUCCUUUCCCUAGCAGGGUCAGAAUUGACUUACAUCCGUUCUCUAACUCGUCUUUCUUUUGCUCCAUUCCCGAGCUCCUCGAUCAAUAGGUCCGGGAGAGGAGCUGAAAGCCACUUGACUGUAAGCAGAGGAGCCGUGAUCUUCUUCUCUUUCCUUUAGUAGGAAUAGACAAGUCUCACUCUUGCCCUUAAUAGGAAUCCAAAAGCGGAGAUCAGCCUACCUAUCUAAUGAUAUCGGCCUAACUCAGAUAGUGGAACUCCCCUUCUUCCUUCUCGCCUUGGUAGCAUCCUCCUUCUCAUCUAAAGAGGCUUCCUUCCAAACCGAGCUCGGGCCCAGCCCACCGGCAGCCUUGAAAAAAGAAUUCUUU